GGCCCUACGGGAGGCAGCAGUGAGGAAUAUUGCACAAUGGGGGAAACCCUGAUGCAGCAACGCCGCGUGAAGGCAGACGGUUUUCGGAUUGUAAACUUCUUUUCUUAGUGAAGAAGCAAGUGACGGUAGCUAAGGAAUAAGCAUCGGCUAACUACGUGCCAGCAGCCGCGGUAAUCCGUAGGAUGCGAGCGUUAUCCGGAAUUACUGGGUGUAAAGAGUGCGCAGGCGGGACUGCAAGUUGGAU
rnacentral:rRNA from 1 species